rnacentral:sRNA from 1 species
GCCGGGCGUGGUGAUGCACGCCUGUCAUCCCAGCAGCUCAGGAGGCUGAGGCAGGGGGAUUGCAAGUUCAAAGCCAGCUUCAGCAAUUUAGCAAGACCCUAAGCAACUCAGUGAGACCCUGUCUCUA